rnacentral:rRNA from 1 species
GACGAACGCUGGCGGCGUGCCUAAUACAUGCAAGUUGAGCGAUGAAGAUUGGUGCUUGCACCAAUUUGAAGAGCAGCGAACGGGUGAGUAACGCGUGGGGAAUCUGCCUUUGAGCGGGGGACAACAUUUGGAAACGAAUGCUAAUACCGCAUAACAACUUUAAACAUAAGUUUUAAGUUUGAAAGAUGCAAUUGCAUCACUCAAAGAUGAUCCCGCGUUGUAUUAGCUAGUUGGUGAGGUAAAGGCUCACCAAGGCGAUGAUACAUAGCCGACCUGAGAGGGUGAUCGGCCACAUUGGGACUGAGACACGGCCCAAACUCCUACGGGAGGCAGCAGUAGGGAAUCUUCGGCAAUGUACGAAAGUCUGACCGAGCAACGCCGCGUGAGUGAAGAAGGUUUUCGGAUCGUAAAACUCUGUUGGUAGAGAAGAACGUUGGUGAGAGUGGAAAGCUCAUCAAGUGACGGUAACUACCCAGAAAGGGACGGCUAACUACGUG